rnacentral:rRNA from 1 species
CGUAGGUGGCAAGCGUUGUCCGGAUUUAUUGGGUUUAAAGGGUGCGUAGGCGGUCUUAUAAGUCAGUGCUGAAAUAUCCCGGCUUAACCGGGAGGGUGGCAUUGAUACUGUAGGACUUGAGUAAAGUUGAGGUUGGCGGAAUUGACGGUGUAGCGGUGAAAUGCUUAGAUAUCGUCAAGAACACCGAUAGUGUAGACAGCUAACUAAGCUUUAACUGACGCUGAGGCACGAAAGUGUGGGGGUCAAACAGGAUUAGAUACCCCGGUAGUCCUGGCUGUAAACGUUGGAUACUAGGUGUGGGGGGUAUCGACCCCCCCCGUGCCGAAGUUAACACAUUAAGUAUCCCGCCUGGGAAGUACGGCCGCAAGGUUG